rnacentral:rRNA from 1 species
GACGAACGCUGGCGGCGUGCUUAACACAUGCAAGUCGAACGGGCCCGCUCUCUUUUUUGGGGGUGGGUUGAGUGGCGAACGGGUGAGUAUCACGUGAGUAACCUGCCCCCUGCUCCUGGAUAACUGCUUGAAAGGGCGGCUAAUACGGGGUGUGCCGGCUGGUCCGCAUGGGCCUGGUCGGGAUAGUUUCAUCUUCGGGUGUUUCGGUGGGGGAUGGGCUCGCGGCCUAUCAGCUUGUUGGUGGGGUGAUGGCCCACCAAGGCGGUGACGGGUAGCCGGCCUGAGAGGGUGGGCGGCCACACUGGGACUGAGACACGGCCCAGACUCCUGCGGGAGGCAGCAGUGGGGGGUAUUGCACAAUGGGCGGAAGCCUGAUGCAGCGACGCCGCGUGAGGGAUGGAGGCCUUCGGGUUGUGAACCUCUUUCUCCGGUGGUGAAGGCCCUGUCCGUUGCGGCGGGGUUGACGGUAGCCGGGUAUGAAGCGCCGGCUAACUACGUG